GUUAAACGGCCGCGGUACCCUGACCGUGCUAAGGUAGCAUAAUCAUUUGCCUCUUAAUUGGUGGCUAGUAUGAAAGGACAAACGAGAGCUUAGCUGUCUCUUACUUAAACCCCUUAAAUUAACCUCCGGGUGAAAAGGCCCGAAUUAUUUUAUAAGACAAGAAGACCCUGUCAAGCUUUACUAAAAUUAUAUGCAACCAGAAAUUUUAAACCAUCUGCUUUCCAUUUAAUAAUAGUUUAGUUGGGGCGACUAAGGACCAAAUCUAACGUCCUUCCAAUAACAAAGGAUUAUAAUCCUACAAAUCUGAUCCCAUAAAGGAUAAAGAGACAAGCUACUGCAGGGAUAACAGGCUAAUUUUUCCUGAGAGUCCAAAUCGAAGGAAAAGUUUGGCACCUCGAUGUUGGCUUAAGAUAACCAUAAAGUGCAGCAGCUUUACAUGGUAGGUUUGUUCACCCUUUAAAAUCUUACAUGAGCUGAGUUCAGACCGGCGUAAGCCAGGUCAGAUUCUAUCUAUAAAAUAAUAACCCACACCCCAUUCAAUUGUACGAAAGGAUCCUGAAUGGCUAUCUAAUAGAAUCUAAACCAACAAACCCCUAAUUCUAUAAAACCCCCACAU
rnacentral:rRNA from 1 species